UACGGAGGGUGCAAGCGUUGUUCGGAAUUACUGGGCGUAAAGCGCACGUAGGCGGGGUCUACAUGUCGAUUGUGAAAUCCCCGGGCUUAACCUGGGAAUUGCAGUCGAAACGGUAGAUCUUGAAUGCUUGAGAGGAUGGCGGAAUUCCUGGUGUAGUAGUGAAAUUACGUAGAUAUCAGGAAGAACACCCGAGGCGAAAGGCGGCUAUCUGGUGAUGCAUUGACGCUGAGGUGCGAAAGCGUGGG
rnacentral:rRNA from 1 species